AGCGAACGCUGGCGGCAUGCUUAACACAUGCAAGUCGCACGGUUGGGGGUAACUCCGGCAGUGGCGGACGGGUGAGUAACGCGUAGGUAUCUGUCCAUGGGUGGGGGAUAACCGGGGGAAACUCCGGCUAAUACCGCAUGACACCUGAGGGUCAAAGGCGCAAGUCGCCUGUGGAGGAGCCUGCGUCCGAUUAGCUAGUUGGUGGGGUAAAGGCCUACCAAGGCGACGAUCGGUAGCUGGUCUGAGAGGAUGAUCAGCCACACUGGGACUGAGACAC
rnacentral:rRNA from 1 species